rnacentral:rRNA from 1 species
CCGGCACGGGUGAGUAACACGUAUCCAACCUGCCGUCUACUCUUGGACAGCCUUCUGAAAGGAAGAUUAAUACAAGAUGGCAUCAUGAGUCCGCAUGUUCACAUGAUUAAAGGUAUUCCGGUAGACGAUGGGGAUGCGUUCCAUUAGAUAGUAGGCGGGGUAACGGCCCACUUAGUCUUCGAUGGAUAGGGGUUCUGAGAGGAAGGUCCCCCACAUUGGAACUGAGACACGGUCCAA